AGAGUUCACCUGCUCUACUGACCACCUCAUUUGCCCCAAGGUUUAUGGAUCUCACUCAUGGUCUUCUCUGUUGCUAGGCAUAUUUCUACCACAUUUCUACAACACUUGAUUGCACAAUCAAGAAUAUCAUUGAAUCCUCGUGUCACUUCUAACGUAUCAGAGAUCUUUGUUGCAGGAGAACUGUGUUCAAACUUGAAAAUAGUCUGGAGCUGUAAGAUUUCUGUGGAUUCUCCAACAACAACUUAUGAUAUGACAUGACAAUACAUCAACAUAAGUGGUUAACUAUGCAAAUUAGUCUGUAUAUAUAAAAUGUGUUCCAGCUGGUGAAGAGGUGCCAUCGCUAUGGGAGUGAGGUAACAAAGCUUUGCUCUAGACAGUUCUUCAGCCAAACUGGAGGAUUGAAACAGUCAACAGUAGUUUGCAAAAACUUGCAGUUUGAUGGCAGCCAAGGAUUUUUCCAAAAUGGAGUCUCAACGAAGGUGGGUCAGUUCCCACCAGGUUCUGUUCAUCAUCUGCUGCAUCAUGGUACAGGCGCCAUGCCUGAGAUGUAAGAUAGUGGUGAACUGCACCAACCCCAACACCAUAUCCCUUCUGGCCGCCCUGGAGAACGUCAUGAAGUUGUACUCCAUACGACCUGUCAUGAACCUCUCAACCCUCACCAACAUCAGCAUGUACUUCACUCUCUACGGCAUCCUGGGUGUGGUAAGGAGUAGUAGGACAGCAUGGUAUCCCUUUCAACUAGUUCACCUGAGGAGACCAUUAAAUCCAUCAAUGUAUUUGACAUGUGCUAUAUAGUUCUGAAUGUUCCUCCACAUCCUGUUUUGUAGACGUAUGUAAAAUGUGGCUUUAUUGCCAUUACUUUGUAGGAAAACUAAUUCUCUUUUCAGGAAGAAAAA